AGAGUUUGAUCAUGGCUCAGAGUGAACGCUGGCGGCGUGCUUAACACAUGCAAGUCGAACGAUGAUAAAGAGCUUGCUCUUUUGAUUAGUGGCGCACGGGUGAGUAAUAUAUAGAUAAUGUACCUCUUAGUCUGGGAUAGCCACUGGAAACGGUGAUUAAUACUAGAUACUCCUUCUAACUUUAAGGUUAGUCGGGAAAGUUUUUUCGCUAAGAGAUCGGUCUAUAUCCUAUCAGUUAGUUGGUGAGGUAAUGGCUCACCAAGGCAAUGACAGGUAGCGGGUUUGAGAGGAUGAUCCGCCACACUGGUACUGAGACACGGACCAGACUCCUACGGGAGGCAGCAGUGAGGAAUAUUGCACAAUGGGGGAAACCCUGAUGCAGCAACGCCGCGUGGAGGAUGACGCAUUUCGGUGUGUAAACUCCUUUUAUGAGUCAAGAAAAUGACGGUAGCUCAUGAAUAAG
rnacentral:rRNA from 1 species